GACAGAGGAUGCAAGCGUUAUCCGGAAUGAUUGGGCGUAAAGCGUCUGUAGGUGGCUUUUUAAGUCCGCCGUCAAAUCCCAGAGCUCAACUCUGGAACUGACCUUUGAUACUGGGUAUCUUGAGUAUGGAAGAGGUGAGUGGAAUUCCGAGUGUAGAGGUGAAAUUCGUAGAUAUUCGGAGGAACACCAGUGGCGAAAGGCGGCUCAC
rnacentral:rRNA from 1 species